rnacentral:lncRNA from 1 species
CUCAAGGCCAAAACACAGAAAUCAAUAGCUUUUCUGUUACUGUGUUCUGGCAUUCAGUAUACUCAUUCUGGGUUCUUUCCAGGUUCGUGGUGUUUGGAACAAAGAAUUAGACAAGACAUGCGAAAAAGAAACUAAUGACCAGGAAGAGAGGGAAAGAGAAAGAACCCAAAGGACAACAACAGCAACAACAACAAAACACUUGUCCAAGAUUACACAGCUGGUAAGUGCCAUGGCUCCCCUGCCUG